AUGAUUGUUUCCUAUUGCAUAUAGUGUGGUAGAGGCUGAAUGCAGAGACAACUGGGAAUGGUUCUUAAGCAACUUAUAUGAAAUUUUCUAUAGGAUCAUGGAAGACAACCCAAUCACAUUUAUGUCUGACAAACAGAAGGGACUUUGUGAGGCCAUCAGUGAUAUAUUCCCAAGCUGCCAUCAUAGAUGGUGUUGUAGGAAUUUGUAUCAGAACUUCAAAUCACUUCACCCAGGUGUGUUACUGAGAAGGUAUUUCUGGAUGGCAACAAAAGCCUCUAAUCUAUUUUUUUUUUUUUUUAGAAGGCAAUAAAUGAAAUAAAGGGCAUUGACCAGAAAGGUUAUGAGUGGCUAAGUAAGCAUCCUCCAAAGAUGUGGGUUAGGCAUGUUUUCGACGUUAGGUGCAAGAGUAAUCAUAUCACUAAUAAUAUGACCGAGUCAUUUAACCAGUUGAUUGCACCCUUUAGGGGUAUGCCCAUUCUGAUUCUUGUUGAUGAGAUUAAAAAGCAACUCAUGGAAAAAAUGCAUAAAAGAUAUCAACAUGGUUGCAACUACAAAGGAAGAGUCACCUCAUGCAUAAAGAAGAAGUUGGAUGCCAUAGCCACUGAAGCUAGGGAGUGUAUGGUACUUAGUUCAGGUGUUGAUGAGUUUGAAAUCACUGAAAAACAAGGAAGGUAUGUGGUUGAUUUGAAGAAUCAAUCUUGUGAUUGCAUGAUUUGGGAUGGUUCAGGAAUACCAUGUAAGCAUGCCGCAGCUUGUAUCAAAUUCAAAAGAGAGAGUUUGGAGAAGUACUGUGAUGAGUAUUACAGUGUUGGAAAAUAUUUGGCAACAUACAAAGGCAUAAUACAUGCUUUACCUAGACUAGAUUAGUUGACAGCAGAUCAUUCAAUGGGUGUUGUCCAGCCCCCUCCUUUGAAGAGGUUAAUGGGAAGACCACAUAAAGCCGGAAGAAAGAACAAAAUGAAGGACCAUCAAGAGAGUACAGGAGGAGAUCAAACACUGUCAGAUGUGACAGAUGUAAAAUUGAGGGUCACAACAAAAGGCACAAGACCUCAAGUGAAGGUGAAGGGAAAGGGAGAUAGUGCCUUUAGCUCAACAGUGAAACCGAAGGUAUUUAUACAAUCACUCUUCACAUUUGAUUCUCUUCUUAUACCAAUGUAUAUAAUACAUGGAUCUAAUUUGUGUGCAAGGAAAGGGAAAGGGAAAGAAAAUCAGUAGAAGUUAAUCUUCAUAGAUAGUGACCAGGUCACAGGCCUCCACAACAACCAUUGUAGAUGACCACCAGUCAAGGGUUAGAGCACAAUCGAAAGCAAAGGAGGAGAAAAGGAUGGCAAGAGAGAAGCUGUGGAAGACAAGAGACUAGUGGGAGUUAGACAUUUGGGAGUUAGACUUAUGGGAUUUAGAAUAGGGAUUUGGAAUAGACUAUGGAAUUUAAACUUUCUAGUAUUUUGGUAGACAUUUAUUUUGGGAGUUAAACUGUGGAUGACUAUUGGAUGGUAUUGGAUAUUUUGGAUGGUGUUCUUUGUCACAUUCAUAUGAUGUUUAUGAAAUGAUACAUGCUUUAUUAGGUCUAUUUUUUUGUCCACCAAACAAAUGGCAUGCUGCCCAAUUUUUUUUUUGACAAUCAGAUUGGUGGUUGGUGUUGAAUAUUUUAGAAUGUGUUGUCUAUCACAUUCAUAUGAUGUUUAUAAAAUGUUACAUGCUUUAUCA